rnacentral:tRNA from 1 species
GGAGAAGGUGUGGCCCAGGGACAGAGCAACAGUUUCACAGGCAGAAGGUCCCGGGUUCGAUUCCUGGCAUCUCCA